rnacentral:rRNA from 1 species
UACGGAGGGGGCUAGCGUUGUUCGGAAUUACUGGGCGUAAAGCGCGCGUAGGCGGACCUGCAAGUCGGGGGUGAAAGCCCGAGGCUCAACCUCGGAACUGCCUUCGAUACUGCGGGUCUCGAGUCCGGGAGAGGUGAGUGGAAUUCCUAGUGUAGAGGUGAAAUUCGUAGAUAUUAGGAAGAACACCAGUGGCGAAGGCGGCUUUCUGGACGGUAACUGACGCUGAGACGCGAAAGCGUGGGGAGCAAACAGG